rnacentral:rRNA from 1 species
AUUGAACGCUGGCGGAAUGCUUUACACAUGCAAGUCGAGCGGCAGCACGGGGGCAACCCUGGUUGCGCGCGGCGAACGGGUGAGUAAUACAUCGGAACAUGCCCAGUCGUGGGGGAUAACACUUCGAAAGAAGUGCUAAUACCGCAUACGUCCUGAGGGAGAAAGCGGGGGAUCGCAAGACCUCGCGCGAUUGUAGUGGCCGAUGUCAGAUUAGCUAGUUGGUGGGGUAAAGGCCUACCAAGGCAACGAUCUGUAGCUGGUCUGAGAGGAUGAUCAGCCACACUGGGACUGAGACACGGCCCAGACUCCUACGGGAGGCAGCAGUGGGGAAUGUUGGACAAUGGGGGCAACCCUGAUCCAGCCAUUCCGCGUGAGUGAAGAAGGCCUUCGGGUUGUAAAGCUCUUUCGGCAGGAACGAAACGGCGAGCUCUAACAUAGCUUGCUAAUGACGGUACCUGAAGAAGAAGCACCGGCUAACUACGUG